CACGGAGUUAGCCGAUCCUUAUUCUUACGGUACAUUCAGCCCUCUACACGUAGAGGGGUUAUUCCCGUACAAAAGCAGUUUACAACCCGUAGGGCAGUCUUCCUGCACGCGGCAUGGCUGGUUCAGGGUUCCCCCCAUUGACCAAUAUUCCUUACUGCUGCCUCCCGUAGGAGUCUGGUCCGUGUCUCAGUACCAGUGUGGGGGAUUCUCCUCUCAGAGCCCCUAGACAUCGUCGCCUUGGUGGGCCGUUACCCCGCCAACUAGCUAAUGUCACGCGAGCCCAUCCAUGUCCUAUGAAUAUUUAACCGCUUUCCCAUGCGGGAGCGCCGUCUUAUGCGGGCUUAAUCCGGAUUUCUCCGGGCUAUCCCCCUGAUAUGGGCAGGUUGCUCACGCGUUACGCACCCGUGCGCCACUCUCAUGGGGACCGAAGUCCCCAAUCCGUCCGACUUGCAUGUAUUAGGCCUGCCGCUAGCGUUCAUCCUGAGCCAGGAUCAAACUC
rnacentral:rRNA from 1 species